AGACGGCUCUCCCUCUGCUGCUGCUCAUCUCUCUGCUCUGCCACAAUGCUCUGUCUUGCUCUGUCUGUGAAGGCCACGCACUCAAGUGUCACACGUGCGUAGCGUCCAAUGAGGACGACUGUAACCGCCAGGGCUCCACCUCCUGCCCUCAGUACGCCGAUGCAUGCUCCACCAUCACAGGACCCAACACCGUCAUGAAGUCCUGCUCUUACAAGGCCUUCUGCGACAAGGCUCACGGCGGCAGCUCCGGAGCCAAGAUGGAGUGCUGCUUCGGCGACGACUGCAACGGGCCCCACAGGAGUCACAGCCACGGGAACCACCACCGAAACAGCGCCGGGGCCGCGGCCUCCAGCCCGGCCCUGCUGAUCACAGCCCUGCUGCUGCGUGUAGCCUGCACUCACUUCUAAACUCCUUCACCUCUUCUAGUCCUCCC